CGUUUACUGACAUUUUUGGGGCUUAACUUCAUUAUCAGUCGUUUUUCUCGCGUGUGUUCGUGUCCGUGACUUCAGUGUCUCUGACAUGAGUUGUGGACGGAUGAUAACACACUGUGCGUCUCUAGUUUUUGUGUUUCAUCCCGGUCAGUUCUAGUCCGUUUGUGGCGGUUUGUGAUCGUUGUUUCCUGGUCAUGUUGGGUCAUUGUUUGUCUGUUCCGGGCUGUUUAUUGUAUCUUUGUAUCUCCUUGUCGUUUUGUGUCCGCUCCAGUUAUUUGUGUCUUUCUUUUGUUGAUUAGUUUGAAUCGUCUCUGUCUGUUUUCCGUGUGUUAUUGAUCUUCUUGUCUUGCUGUGGUUUUAAAUCAUUUCGUGUCCGUUUCUGUCGCGUUAUGUUUCUUUGAGGAUAUUUUUGUGUAGUCGUGAAUCCCAGAUUUUUGCCUCUGCGGUCGGUGUUGUGUUUCAUUUGUUUCUCUUCCUGGUGACCCGCGGUGGUUUUGCUGCUGCCUCGCUUAUGGUUUGUGUGUGGUAAUAAUCUGUCCAUUGAUCUCUGGUUGUGAUCAGGAAUUAGUUUGUGCUGAUUUGACUGAUCUCAGGUCUGUGUCAGAUUCCUGUUAGAAAUCAUCACAUUAAAACCUGAAGGAUUCAUUUAAGGUUUGAAAGUGAAAGUUGUGGUUUCCACAGAUUAUUUCAGCAGCGCUUUUCUUUCUGAGGUCAGUAAAGUUUUAUUUUGUUAAAAUAAUGAACUUUUUCUCCUCGAGUACGACUGUCAGGAUGAAGUGAAGGUGUCAGUGUGUGUGAAGUGUUAAUAUUCUGAUCAUUCCUCCUGAACAUGUGUUGUUGUGAUGUUUUUUCUUGUCAGAUGUGACAGUGAACUGCUCAUUUUCUGAAACAGCCUGAAACGUUGGAGCUGAAGCAGCAGGUGAAUUUAGGCAGCUCGAGUUAACAACAAAGUGCAUUAAGAAGUGUCACCACUUGGUCGUUGACUGCAGAGAGACCUCGUACCAUAAAGACAGAGGUGCAGAAAACAGAAACACUUGGAUCCACUGAAGGAGGAGACGACAGCAGCUGAAGAUCUGGACCUGAAAAAGAGAUGAAGCUGAAAAAGAGGACUGCGGUGUUCCCCAGGGCUCAGUGCUAGGUCCUCUUUUUACCCUAUACCUGCUCCCCCUUGGUGUAAAAAUGGACCCCCACCUCAUUUACAAUGCCCACAUCCAACAACUCUGUAAAACCUCUUUCUGUCACCUCAAGAACAUCGGCAAACUCCAUCCGUUCUCACUCUGGCAGAUGCAGAAAAGCUGGUCCACGCCUUUGUCUCCUCCACCUGAGGGCACCGCAGGUCAUGGACACUUUUAAACGUGCCCUGAAAACUCACCUUUUUAAAAAGGCCUACUGUUGCUGAUUUUAAUUGCUGUUGAUUUUACUCUGUAGCACUUUGAGAUUUGAUUUUAACUAAAAUAUAUUUUUAUAUUUAUUUAUG